AAAUAGAAAGCAAUAAAUUGCAUUCAAUUUCGAACUGAAAGUAUGGGAAAUACCCUCUAUUUA
rnacentral:tRNA from 1 species